rnacentral:tRNA from 1 species
GGGCGAUUAGCUCAGGGGGAGAGCGCUUCCUUCACACGGAAGAGGUCGUAGGUUCAAAUCCUACAUCGCCCACCA